rnacentral:rRNA from 1 species
UACGAAGGGGGGCGAGCGUUGUUCGGAUUUACUGGGCGUAAAGGGCGCGCAGGCGGCUCAUUUUGUCAGGCGUGAAAGCCCCCGGGCUUAACCUGGGAACUGCGUUUGAUACGGAUGGGCUAGAGUUCGGGAGAGGAGUGUGGAAUUCCCAGUGUAGAGGUGAAAUUCGUAGAUAUUGGGAAGAACACCGGUGGCGAAGGCGGCUCUCUGGACCGAGACUGACGCUGAGGCGCGAAAGCGUGGGGAGCAAACAGG